rnacentral:rRNA from 1 species
GAUGAACGCUAGCGGCAGGCCUAACACAUGCAAGUCGAGGGAGAAGCCCUUUCGGGGGCAGAAACCGGCGCACGGGUGCGUAACGCGUAUGCAACCUACCUUUCACAGGGGGAUAGCCCGAAGAAAUUUGGAUUAAUACCCCAUAAUAUUAUUGGAUGGCAUCAUUUGAUAAUUAAAACUGCGGUGGUGAAAGAUGGGCAUGCGUCCUAUUAGCUAGUUGGAGUGGUAACGGCACCCCAAGGCUACGAUAGGUAGGGGUCCUGAGAGGGAGAUCCCCCACACUGGUACUGAGACAGGGACCAGACUCCUACGGGAGGCAGCAGUGAGGAAUAUUGGUCAAUGGUCGGAAGACUGAACCAGCCAUGCCGCGUGCAGGAAGAAUGCCUUA